rnacentral:rRNA from 1 species
AACGAACGCUGGCGGCAGGCUUAACACAUGCAAGUCGAACGGGUGUAGCAAUACAUCAGUGGCAGACGGGUGAGUAACACGUGGGAACCUUCCUAGGGGUACGGAACAACUCAGGGAAACUUGAGCUAAUACCGUAUACGUCCGUGAGGAGAAAGAUUUAUCGCCCUUAGACGGGCCCGCGUCGGAUUAGGUAGUUGGUGGGGUAACGGCCUACCAAGCCUACGAUCCGUAGCUGAUCUUAGAGGAUGAUCAGCCACACUGGGACUGAGACACGGCCCAGACUCCUACGGGAGGCAGCAGUGGGAAAUCUUGGACAAUGGGCGCAAGCCUGAUCCAGCCAUGCCGCGUGAGUGAAGAAGGCCUUAGGGUUGUAAAGCUCUUUUACCAGGGACGAUAAUGACGGUACCUGGAGAAUAAGCCCCGGCAAACUUCGUGCCAGCAGCCGCCAUAACAC